GGUCCUAUAGUUUAGUGGUAAUGACGUUGGAUUUUGAUUCCGAAGACCCCGGUUCGAACCCGGGUAGGACCU
rnacentral:tRNA from 4 species